rnacentral:lncRNA from 1 species
AAUCACUUCGGACCAAGCGAGAAAGGACAAAGAAGGCUUGCUUGAUAGUAUCGGCAAUUAACUUCCCAAUGCCUUGAUUCCCCAUGAAUCGGGGUUUAACUUCCAGCUCUACCUAGAGUCCACGGUAACUUCCAUUGUAGAGUUCCUCAACAACCAUGGGUUCGAGACCUCCCCAGACCUCUUUGAUCCCUAUUUAUUAGGCACUCUUUGCAACUUUGAAAGUCUAGUGCCCAGUCCAGCACUUAUAGUCCUAGCCUAUUGAAGGCUUAUUGGCUAACUCUAACAGACAAGUUCUCCUGGUACUCCUAUUUUUUAUUUCUUCAAUGUUAUUUUAUCAUAAUCUUUGUAACAACUUUGUCUCUGUUUUCAGCAUCUUAGUGCUUUGAUAAAACUAGAGGGGAAAAUGAUGAGCACUCAAGAGGCUGCCUGCCAUGAAAUAAAGAAAACUAAGUGAGAAGCAACUACUCAUAUAAUAGUCGUCAGGGCACUUUAGCUAUGAGGUCUUGGAUGGGCUAUUUAACUCUUCUCGUCCAUCAGGACACAUUAGCCUUGAGGUUUAGUCCUAAUUGUACACAGCACACUUUAGCCCUAAGGUCUUGGACAUGCUUUUUAGUCCUGUUUGUUUGUCAGGGCAUUUUAGCUCUGAUUCUUAGUGCUAACUAAAUAAUGUAGAUUUGUAACCUUAAGCCAUCUUGUAUUGUAAUUUUUUAUGCAUGAGGCCUUAUCCUUAAUUUCG